GGGCUCCAGUUUCAGCCACGUAGGACCGGGUAGAACACAGAAAUUCUAGUUUCCUCUCGGGAUGAAAGGCUUCCUAGCACAAACACCACCCCUGGAGUUCCCGGUACAUCAAUACCAGCCUGGGGAUCACGUUCUCAUCAAGAGUUGGAAGAGGGAAAGCUUGAACCAGCUUAGGAGGACCUCAUCUGGUACUCUUGAUGAAUGAAACAGCAAUCUGAAUGGCUGAAAAAGGAUGGACCCAGCACUCCAGGGAGAAAACUUGGCAUUCUUUGGGAAUCUAACAGGAUGCAGUGAACCCAAGCCUUUUGAAGAGCUCACCAAUCAGACUGCCCUUGUCUAUCCAUGAGCAGAUGUUUGAUAGUAUUGCGGAGGCCCUCUAGUGGGUAUGCUGCCAAGCAACUGGAGUGGCACUUGGGCUCUAAUCCAGUUGUCUAUCCCUUUCACCCUGGCAUUUCAUCAGCCAAACAAAAACCAACUAACUCAGAAAAAAAGGAAAGCCCCUCAAGGGUCCUUUGACCCCGAUAUCUACAUAGAUGCUAUCGGGGUCCCCUGAGGGGUACCAAACGAAUUCAAAGCUCGAAAUCAAAUAGCUGCUGGAUUCAAGUCUGUCCUUUUCUUGUGGUCUACUAUAAAUAAAAAUGUAGACUGGAUAAAUUACAUAUACUAUAACCAACAA
rnacentral:lncRNA from 10 species